rnacentral:rRNA from 1 species
UCCAGACUCCUACGGGAGGCAGCAGUGGGGGAUAUUGCACAAUGGGGGGAACCCUGAUGCAGCGACGCCGCGUGGGUGAAGGAGCGUUUCGGCGCGUAAAGCCCUAUCGGCAGGGAAGAAGGAGGACGGUACCUGACUAAGAAGCCCCGGCUAACUACGUGCCAGCAGCCGCGGUAAUACGUAGGGGGCAAGCGUUAUCCGGAUUUACUGGGUGUAAAGGGGGCGCAGACGGCAGCGCAAGCCAGGAGUGAAAGCCCGGGGCCCAACCCCGGGACUGCUCUUGGAACUGCGCGGCUGGAGUGCAGGAGGGGCAGGUGGAAUUCCUGGUGUAGCGGUGAAAUGCGUAGAUAUCAGGAGGAACACCGGUGGCGAAGGCGGCCUGCUGGACUGCGACUGACGUUGAGGCCCGAAAGCGUGGGGAGCAAACAGGAUUAGAUACCCUCGUACA